GCGAACGUGUUGAAAUGGUAGCCAAGAUCGCCUUAGGAGCGGUUGCCGUAUGGUGUGGGAGUUCGAGUCUCCCCGUUCGUA
rnacentral:tRNA from 1 species